CUUAAGUAAACUUCACGGGGUGUAAUCUGACAUGGCAGGGAGCAGAUCACAUGGCCUAGAUCUUAAAGGAGAAUCUUGGUACCAGGACCACACAAUGAAGAACUUGGAGUCCCCGUGGCUAAUCCAGCAGAGAGAAAAGGAGAAACAGAGAUGGGAGAGAAAACAAAGGGAACUCUUGGUGCAAUUUGGUGCUGCUGCAGGCCCAAGUCCAGAUUUCUGUGUGUGUGUGCCCCCAUGAUGAACACAUCAUUAAAAUAAAAUAUCAUGAAUAGACUCUUUUCAAGAAGCAGGUCUACUUAAAGUCCUGGAAAAUGUGAAAGCACUAAUAUUCAUGGACAACUCUAUACUCUGAAAGAUACUCCAAAUUUUGUUGAUCUCUAUUUUGUCUAGGAGUUUUUCAGAUUUUCUGCCAUGAUCAUUUGUUAGU